GUGGGCGUAGCUCAGUCGGUAGAGCACGGGAUUGUGAUUCCCGGUGUCGUGGGUUCGAGACCCAUCGUCCACCCCA
rnacentral:tRNA from 1 species